CCUACGGGAGGCAGCAGUGAGGAAUAUUGGUCAAUGGUCGGGAGACUGAACCAGCCAAGCCGCGUGAGGGAUGAAGGUACAGAGUAUCGUAAACCUCUUUUGUCAGGGAACAAAGGCGGGGACGUGUCCCCGGAUGAGUGUACCUGAAGAAAAAGCAUCGGCUAACUCCGUGCCAGCAGCCGCGGUAAUACGGAGGGUGCGAGCGUUAGCCGGAUUUAUUGGGUUUAAAGGGUGCGCAGGCGGUCUGUUAAGUCAGCGGUCAAAGCCCGGGGCUCAACCCCGGCCCGCCGUUGAAACUGGCAGUCUCGAGUUGGAGAGAAGUAUGCGGAAUGCGCGGUGUAGCGGUGAAAGGCAUAGAUAUCGCGCAGAACUCCGAUUGCGAAGGCAGCAUGCCGGCUCCACACUGACGCUGAGGCACGAAAGCGUGGGUAUCGAACAGGAUUAGAUACCCCUGUAGUC
rnacentral:rRNA from 1 species